rnacentral:tRNA from 1 species
ACUUAAAUAGCUUAAUUUAGAGCAUGACAUUGAAGAUGUCAGGGUAAUUGUGAAAUUUUUAAGUA